rnacentral:rRNA from 1 species
CUUCGGCCCGAGUUGUAAUUUGUAGAGGAUGUUUAUGGUGCGGUACCUUCCGAGUUCCCUGGAACGGGACGCCACAGAGGGUGAGAGCCCCGUCUGGUUGGAUACUAAACCUGUGUUAAACUCCUUCAACGAGUCGAGUAGUUUGGGAAUGCUGCUCUAAAUGGGAGGUAAAUCUCUUCUAAAGCUAAAUACCGGCCAGAGACCGAUAGCGCACAAGUAGAGUGAUCGAAAGAUGAAAAGCACCUUGAAAAGGGGGUUAAACAGUACGUGAAAUUGUUGAAAGGGAAGCGUUUAUGACCAGACUUGUGCCGUGUGGCUCAUCCGAGGUUCUCCCCGGUGCACUCCACGCGGCUCAGGCCAACAUCGGUUCUUGUUGGGGGAUAAGAGUAGUAGGAACGUAGCUCCCCUCGGGGAGUGUUAUAGCCUAUUAUACGAUACCCUGGCGGGGACCGAGGACCGCGCUUCGGCUAGGAUGUUGGCGUAAUGGUCAUUAGCGACCCGUCUUGAAACACGGACCAAGGAGUCGUCCAUUAGAGCGAGCGUUUGGGUGUAAAACCCGCACGCGUAAUGAAAGUGAAAUUAGGUGAGAGCUUCGGCGCAUCAUCGACCGAUCCUGAAGUUUACGGAUGGAUUUGAGUAAGAGUUUUAACGGACGGACCCGAAAGACAGUGAACUAUGCUUGAAUAGGGUGAAGCCAGAGGAAACUCUGGUGGAGGCUCGCAGCGGUUCUGACGUGCAAAUCGAUCGUCAAAUUUGAGCAUGGGGGCGAAAGACUAAUCGAAC